rnacentral:rRNA from 1 species
CCUACGGGAGGCAGCAGUGGGGAAUAUUGCGCAAUGGAGGAAACUCUGACGCAGCCAUGCCGCGUGUGUGAAGAAGGCCUUCGGGUUGUAAAGCACUUUCACUUGGGAAGAAAAGCUUAUCGUUAAUAGCGGUGAGCCGUGACAUUACCUUGAGAAGAAGCACCGGCUAACUCCGUGCCAGCAGCCGCGGUAAUACGGAGGGUGCGAGCGUUAAUCGGAAUUACUGGGCGUAAAGCGCGCGUAGGCGGUUGAUUAAGUCAGCUGUGAAAGCCCCGGGCUCAACCUGGGAAUUGCAGUUGAUACUGGCCGACUAGAGUGCAGGAGAGGGAGGUAGAAUUCCACGUGUAGCGGUGAAAUGCGUAGAUAUGUGGAGGAAUACCGGUGGCGAAGGCGGCCUCCUGGCCUGACACUGACGCUGAGGUGCGAAAGCGUGGGGAGCAAACAGGAUUAGAUACCCUUGUAGUCCACGCCGUAAACGAUGUCUACUAGCCGUUGGGGUACUUGAGACCUUAGUGGCGCAGCUAACGCACUAAGUAGACCGCCUGGGGAGUACGGCCGCAAGGUUAAAACUCAAAUGAAUUGACGGA